GAUGAACGCUAGCGGCAGGCUUAACACAUGCAAGUCGAGGGGUAUAGUUCUUCGGAACUAGAGACCGGCGCACGGUUGCGUAACACGUAUGUACUCUACCUUAUACAGGUGGAUAGCCCAGAGAAAUUUGGAUUAAUACCGCAUAGUAUGUUGUGGUGGCCUUACUCUAUCAUUAACGUUACAACGGUAAAAGAUCAUCAUGCGUCCCAUUAUCUAGAUGGUAAGGUAACGGCUUACCACGGCUACGAUGGGUAGGGGUCCUGAGAGGGAGAUCCCCCACACUGGUACUGAGGCACGGACCAAACUCCUACGGGAGGCAGCAGUGAGGAAUAUUGGCCAAUGGGCGCAAGCCUGAUCCAGCCAUGCCGCGUGCAGGAUGACGGUCCUAUGGAUUGUAAACUGCUUUUGUACAGGAAGAAACACUCCCCCGUGAGGGAGCUUGACGGUACUGUAAGAAUAAGGAUCGGCUAACUCCGUGCCAGCCGCCGCCGUAA
rnacentral:rRNA from 1 species